ACGUAGGCACCAAGCGUUGUCCGGAUUUAUUGGGCGUAAAGAGCUCGUAGGCGGUUCAGUAAGUCGGGUGUGAAAACUCUGGGCUUAACCCAGAGACGCCACUCGAUACUACUGUGACUAGAGUUCGGUAGGGGAGCGGGGAAUUCCUAGUGUAGCGGUGAAAUGCGCAGAUAUUAGGAGGAACACCGGUGGCGAAGGCGCCGCUCUGGGCCGAUACUGACGCUGAGGAGCGAAAGCGUGGGUAGCAAACAGG
rnacentral:rRNA from 1 species